rnacentral:tRNA from 1 species
AUUAAUAUGGCAGAAUAAUGCAUUGAAUUUAAAAUUCAAAUAUAAAUUUAAAUUUUAUUAAUAAUAA